rnacentral:misc_RNA from 1 species
GGCCAUUCUUGGACCUAAAAAGGGUAAUAUCUUUGUCUUUUUCUUUCUGAUCCAAUUUUUCUCACUAACUUCUUUUUCUAUGCAAGUGUGGCUAGGAUUUAAGUUGAAAGGGCAGAGAAGAAAAGGAAAAGAGAGCUCGCCAAGCAAGUUCUUUAAAAGAAGAAAGUGGCAUCACAGGCUGCUGCUGCUGCAAAGACUAAAGAGCAACCUCCUUGAAAGAGAUCCUAAGCUAAAGACUCAAUCUCUCCUACUCUUACCCAAAAUGAGCUUUCAGACCUUAGAUCUCCUCUAUUCUUGAUGCGAUCUCUUGCUCAACCACUUAUCUCAACUGUUUCUGGGGGU